rnacentral:rRNA from 1 species
AUGAACGCUAGCUACAGGCUUAACACAUGCAAGUCGAGGGGCAGCAUCAUCAAAGCUUGCUUUGAUGGAUGGCGACCGGCGCACGGGUGAGUAACACGUAUCCAACCUGCCGACAACACUGGGAUAGCCUUUCGAAAGAAAGAUUAAUACCGGAUGGCAUAAUUAUUCCGCAUGGGAUAAUUAUUAAAGAAUUUCGGUUGUCGAUGGGGAUGCGUUCCAUUAGGCAGUUGGCGGGGUAACGGCCCACCAAACCAACGAUGGAUAGGGGUUCUGAGAGGAAGGUCCCCCACAUUGGAACUGAGACACGGUCCAAACUCCUACGGGAGGCAGCAGUGAGGAAUAUUGGUCAAUGGACGAGAGUCUGAACCAGCCAAGUAGCGUGAAGGAUGACUGCCCUAUGGGUUGUAAACUUCUUUUAUACGGGAAUAAAGUUAGCCACGUGUGGCUUUUUGUAUGUACCGUAUGAAUAAGGAUCGGCUAACUCCGUGCCAGCAGCCGCGGUAAUACGGAGGAUCCGAGCGUUAUCCGGAUUUAUUGGGUUUAAAGGGAGCGUAGGCGGGUUGUUAAGUCAGUUGUGAAAGUUUGCGGCUCAACCGUAAAAUUGCAGUUGAUACUGGCGACCUUGAGUGCAACAGAGGUAGGCGGAAUUCGUGGUGUAGCGGUGAAAUGCUUAGAUAUCACGAAGAACUCCGAUUGCGAAGGCAGCUUACUGGAUUGUAACUGACGCUGAUGCUCGAAAGUGUGGGUAUCAAACAGGAUUAGAUACCCUGGUAGUCCACACAGUAAACGAUGAAUACUCGCUGUUGGCGAUAUACGGUCAGCGGCCAAGCGAAAGCAUUAAGUAUUCCACCUGGGGAGUACGCCGGCAACGGUGAAACUCAAAGGAAUUGACGGGGGCCCGCACAAGCGGAGGAACAUGUGGUUUAAUUCGAUGAUACGCGAGGAACCUUACCCGGGCUUAAAUUGCAACUGACGGAAUCGGAAACGGUUCUUUCUUCGGACAGUUGUGAAGGUGCUGCAUGGUUGUCGUCAGCUCGUGCCGUGAGGUGUCGGCUUAAGUGCCAUAACGAGCGCAACCCUUACGGGUAGUUACCAUCAGGUUAUGCUGGGGACUCUACCCGGACUGCCGUCGUAAGAUGUGAGGAAGGUGGGGAUGACGUCAAAUCAGCACGGCCCUUACGUCCGGGGCUACACACGUGUUACAAUGGGGGGUACAGAAGGCAGCUACACGGCGACGUGGUGCUAAUCCCAAAAGCCUCUCUCAGUUCGGAUUGGAGUCUGCAACCCGACUCCAUGAAGCUGGAUUCGCUAGUAAUCGCGCAUCAGCCACGGCGCGGUGAAUACGUUCCCGGGCCUUGUACACACCGCCCGUCAAGCCAUGAAAGCCGGGGGUACCUGAAGUACGUAACCGCGAGGAGCGUCCUAGGGUAAAACUGGUGAUUGGGGCU